rnacentral:tRNA from 1 species
AUUUAUAUAGUUUAAUUAAAACAUUACAUUUUCAUUGUAAAAAUAAAAAUUAAUUUUUUUUUUUAUAAAUA